UACGUAGGGUGCGAGCGUUGUCCGGAAUUACUGGGCGUAAAGAGCUCGUAGGUGGUUUGUCGCGUUGUUCGUGAAAACUCACAGCUUAACUGUGGGCGUGCGGGCGAUACGGGCAGACUGGAGUACUGCAGGGGAGACUGGAAUUCCUGGUGUAGCGGUGGAAUGCGCAGAUAUCAGGAGGAACACCGGUGGCGAAGGCGGGUCUCUGGGCCAUAACUGACGCUGAGGAGCGAAAGCGUGGGGAGCGAACAGG
rnacentral:rRNA from 1 species